AUAGGCAUGUUAAGCAUAUUGAUUUUUUUUUAACUACAAGAACUUUUUGAUAUUAUUUUUCUACCCAAACCCCCUAAUUUGAGAAUUGCCUAUUUAAAUCAUGACAUUCAAUUCAUUUGGAUCAUCACUUUACCUUGGCUCUCAGUGAUUACCAAUAAAUAUUAAAUGAGUAUUACCCAUAAUAAAGUAUUUUGGAUUAAGAAAAUAAUUGUACAUUUCCAGCCUUCACUAAGUUUACAUUCUAGAUAAUUAACUUUUAAAAAUUAAAACUUGGUCACUGCUCAUGCCUGUAGUCCCAUAAUUUUGGAAGCCUAGGCAGGCAGAUCAUUUGAGGCAGGGGUUCCAGACCAGCCUGGGCAACAAAGUGACACACGUCUCCACAAAAAAUAAAAAAAAAUUAGUUAGGUGUGGUGACAUGUCCCUCGGGCUGCAGUGUAGUGAGCUGUGAUUGCACCGCUACACCUCAGACAUAUAUAUAUAUAUAUGGCCUAUUUUUUUAAAGGCAGAUGUUUCAUUGAUUUUUUAUGUUGUGAAUAAUGAGCAUGAUAAGUCCUUGAAAUUAUAUACCUCUGUACUCCAUAAAUUGAGAGGGAACAUUGUGAACUCAAAAAAUCAUGGUUUAUUUUCAACAUGCAAAUCACUUUGAAACCUUACACAGUCUCACUGAGUUAAGCAUUUUGCAGCGAACUGACUUUCUUCCUGUCAUCGAAGACCUCUGUGAGUCCCGUUUGGUUUAUACUUGUGUUCAUUUAAAUAUUUCAAAACUACCCCAGAAAAAACUUUAUUAUCACAUAACCAUGAAUAAGAGGUAUAACUCUUAAAACUCACCUUUUUUUGCACAUUGAGCUACAAGUAUCCCUUCAUAAAUGCAAGAAGGAGUAAGCUUCUUUCCUUCCAACUAAAUAUAACAUUUUAGUUGUCUAUUUCCUAAGGACCCAGUAUCUAUAUUCUCUCGAUAUCUCAAAAUAUGAUGGAUAAUCCCAGGAUACAUAGCAAAGGACUUUUUACAUUCUGUCCACUACUACAUUAGAGAGUGACAUUUUCAAAGUCAACAGAGUGGAUUGGCUUUCACUUUCAUUAUGUUAUUAAAAACUAAUUUUCCAGUAAGUAGCUGAGCAUUUGGCAGGGAUUUAGUAAUGAACAUGAUUUUGCCUCUCCAUUACAUUAUCUUCACUGUUAUUCUAAGUAUCAUAUUUCAUCUCACUUAUCUCAAAGAGCCAAAAGAUAUAAUGUAUUAGAGUAGUGUUAUGCUUUUCUCAAACUUCAAAUAAAAAGGCUUAUGAUUAGCCCUAGCAAAAGACAGCACUGUUCAUCUUCAAUUAGGCAGGGUUUUCAUUUUAACUGAAAGUAAAGGCUACUAUCAACUACUCCAUACUAAUUUGUGUAAUACCCACAGUUAAUCAGCAUUUUAGAGCUGAGAGAAUUCUGAAAGAACAGUGAUCCCAACCCCUUUGUGUGUAAAAACGAUGUGAAAAAAGAUGCAUUCUCAGAAAAGAAGUCCCAUGAUUCAAACACAAACUGAUAUGACUUUUAAAUUAGUAUGUGUUGUUAUGGAACACACAGAAGCUUCACUUCUAGCAAUUUAUCUGAAAGAAAUAAGGUUGUGCACUAAGAUUUAUGUACAGUAAUAUUAUGGCACAAAAUUGGAAACAAUUUAUACAGUAAUAGGAGAUUGGUUAAUCAGUAUAAGGUACAGUCAUGGAGUAAAAUAUCAUGCAUCCUUUUUGAAAAGUUACUGAAAUAUAUAAUAGGUAUUGGGAAGAGAUUUUUGGUGUGUUAAGUGAAAAAAAGUAAACCAAACUAUUUGUAAACAAUGAUUCAGAUACCUGAAUAUCUUUAAGAUUUGUUUGUGUGUGUGUGUGUGUGUGUGUAUGUGUAUAUUAGAAACAGUGAACAGUGGUAACCUCUGCAUAAUGAAAUUAUAAUUGACUUUUUUGGUUUCUAGAAGUACAAUGUUACUUUAACUUUUUAAAACCAUGUUUUAAAACAUUGGUUUGGUAACCGCAUCUAGAUUUGAGUUCUGGCUCUACCUAAGGAAAGUUUUUAUUUAAUGUUUUAUUCUUCUGUAAAAUGAGAAUAACACAUACUUGUUAGAAAAAAUACAAAUAAAGCUCAUGGCUUUUAGUAGAUUUUCAAUAAUGGUUUAUCUCCCUUUUGGAGAUGGAACGAAGUAAAAAGUUUUAUGUCCUUUGUCCUUGGUUUCCUCUUUCUCUUCAUCAAACCUUUGGCCAAUUGAGAAAGUAAAAUGAACGGUAAAGAUUCUCUGUUAUUUUCGAGAGUAGUAGAGGAUGGAGAGAUUAGGGGUUAAAUCUUUAAAUUAUUGUCUACACCCCAAGAGUAACACUUUUAUUGACUAGACUAGUCUGGGUUGCUCAGACUAACUUAUUUAUAUUAGAUAUCAAUUAUAAGCAGUGGUAAAUUAACAUCUCUUUUUGAAAGAAGCAUUUUUCAUACUUCAGAUUAGCCUUAGGUAUCAUAGUAGUUUCUAAUUAAUGACUGUACCUACAAAAUUCAUUGUGAGGUUGUACAUUGUUACUUCUUUAAUUUCCUGGAGGAGAUUAUGAGGAAAAGAUGUAGUUAAGAAAAGUUUGCCAAAUUUUAGUGGUAAAACAAUAUGUCUAGGACUUGGAUCCCAUUAUGUUCCCAGCUCUUUUGACAGAUUUAAAAGUUUUCCUAAUCUAUGUUAGUAUUUCUAUUUAGAAAUACCAUUUUUGUAGUAGGCUCUUUUUUAAAAGUCCAAAGACAUUUAGUGUUAUCUACCUUAAAGUAGAGAUGUAUGUGUUGUGUUUACAGAGAUAAUGAAAAUACAAACCUUUAAUUAUAAUAUCAAGGAAGGGUUACAAGAAUCUUGGGAAUUUGUACAGAAUCCAGAGGAGAGAGAACUCAAUAAUAAAUAUUUGAAGCUGGCUGUGUAAAAACACUUUGAGAGAACAAUAAGCAAGGUCACCCUGAGCCAUUUAGUCUGAAUGACAUUUCAUGCAAAUACCCUUCAGAUUAGACUGACUGAAGCCAUGACUUGAAUUGCUGCUAUCCCUGAGCUACUGAAUAAGAGACUUGGAUUAUUGAUGUUGUAGGUCGAUCCAAGGAGCAUAUUUUGUU
rnacentral:lncRNA from 10 species